AUGACCGCUGCCUCGGGAAGCGAUGACACCAUUUUUUCUUCAAGCGACCGAGACGAAUUGGCCCAGACGUCUGCAGUGUCAAGUGAAGGAAGCUCCUCUCAUAAGAUUGCAAACUGUGAGUCUGAUGACACUGAGUGUGAGUGAUGGAAGCCCUUCGAGAAAGGAGCAGAAUGCUGAAGAUGACGCCAGAAUUAAGCCAAGUUCCUGGCUUCUCUCAAGACCUUCAAGGACCCAAUUGACCUCGGAAUCAGCUGUAAAGGAGGAUGAAACCGAUGUCUAAGAAUGGGACAGCGAUAUUGCAUCAAUUGGUCUCCUACUUCAUUUGAUUCCACCAUCACCACAAGGCUGCAAGGGACCUGGAAACAUGUCCUCCUAUCAAGCUGAAAAACAUCUUCAAAAAGGCACCAACAAGAAGAACAGCUUGAUUGCAUAGAAGAGACCACACAGCCAUACCUGCUCACUGAUGGGACAACGAGGAACAUCAUUCAUGGAUGCUACACAACUGUCAAAUC